rnacentral:rRNA from 1 species
UACGUAGGGGGCAAGCGUUGUCCGGAUUUAUUGGGCGUAAAGAGCGUGUAGGCGGCCAGGUAGGUCCGUUGUGAAAACUCGAGGCUUAACCUCGAGACGUCGAUGGAAACCAUCUGGCUAGAGUCCGGAAGAGGAGAGUGGAAUUCCUGGUGUAGCGGUGAAAUGCGCAGAUAUCAGGAAGAACACCCGUGGCUAAGGCGGUUCUCUAGUACGGUACUGACGCUGAGACGCGAAAGCGUGGGGAGCGAACAGG